CCUACGGGAGGCAGCAGUGGGGAAUUUUCCGCAAUGGGCGAAAGCCUGACGGAGCAAUACCGCGUGAGGGAGGAAGGCUCUUGGGUCGUAAACCUCUUUUCUCAGGGAAGAAGAAAGUGACGGUACCUGAGGAAUAAGCAUCGGCUAACUCCGUGCCAGCAGCCGCGGUAAUACGGAGGAUGCAAGCGUUAUCCGGAAUAAUUGGGCGUAAAGGGUCCGCAGGUGGCUGUGUAAGUCUGCUGUUAAAGAGUCAUGCUUAACAUGAUAAGAGCAGUGGAAACUACAUAGCUAGAGUACGUUCGGGGCAGAGGGAAUUCCUGGUGUAGCGGUGAAAUGCGUAGAUAUCAGGAAGAACACCGGUGGCGAAAGCGCUCUGCUAGGCCGUAACUGACACUGAGGGACGAAAGCUAGGGGAGCGAAUGGGAUUAGAUACCCCAGUAGUCCUAGCCGUAAACGAUGGAUACUAGGCGUGGCUUGUAUCGACCCGAGCCGUGCCGUAGCUAACGCGUUAAGUAUCCCGCCUGGGGAGUACGCACGCAAGUGUGAAACUUAAAGGAAAUUGACGG
rnacentral:rRNA from 1 species